rnacentral:rRNA from 1 species
AGCAGCCGCGGUAAUUCCAGCUCCAAUAGCGUAUAUUAAAGUUGUUGCAGUUAAAAAGCUCGUAGUUGAAUUUCGGGAUCAUCAGGUUGGUCGUGCCUCUGGUAUGUACUGAUUUCGAUGGUCCCUCCUUCUUGAAGAGCCGUAAUGCCAUUAAUUUGGUGUUGCGGGGAAUCAGGACUGUUACUUUGAAAAAUUAGAGUGUUUAAAGCAGGCAAUCGCUUGAAUACAUUAGCAUGGAAUAAUGAAAUAGGACGUUCGAUCCUAUUUUGUUGGUUUCUAGGAUUGACGUAAUGAUUAACAGGGAUAGUUGGGGGCAUUAGUAUUCAAUUGUCAGAGGUGAAAUUCUUGGAUUUAUUGAAGACUAACUACUGCGAAAGCAUUUGCCAAGGAUGUUUUCAUUAAUCAAGAACGAAAGUUAGGGGAUCGAAGACGAUCAGAUACCGUCGUAGUCUUAACCAUAAACUAUGCCGACUAGGGAUCGGAUGAUGUUAAUUUUUAAUGACUCAUUC